AAUAAAAUCUGCUACGCAUCUGUUUUCGGAGCCAAAAUCGAAGGGUUUGGAGUGUGAAUUUGGGAAUCAUUCCUUCUCGAAAAUCGUAGAGGACCUCGAAAACUGUGAGUGUGUCAUUCGUGGUUGUGUACCUAAGAAAAUUUUGGUCUAUGAUGUUGCUUUUGGUGCUAACUCGAGCUAUGUUGGCGAAAUUCUGAGAAAUAGUAAACCUUCUGCCGCACCUGUUUUCGGAGCCGAAAU